GUAGGUGGCGAGCGUUAUCCGGAAUCAUUGGGCGUAAAGAGGGAGCAGGCGGCAGUCAGGGUCUGCGGUGAAAGCCCGAAGCUAAACUUCGGUAAGCCGUGGAAACCGGACAGCUAGAGAGCAUCAGAGGAUCGUGGAAUUCCAUGUGUAGCGGUGAAAUGCGUAGAUAUAUGGAGGAACACCAGUGGCGAAGGCGACGGUCUGGGGUGCAACUGACGCUCAGUCCCGAAAGCGUGGGGAGC
rnacentral:rRNA from 1 species